UACGUAGGGGGCAAGCGUUAUCCGGAUUUACUGGGUGUAAAGGGAGCGUAGACGGUUAUGCAAGUCUGGAGUGAAAGGCGGGGGCUCAACCCCCGGACUGCUCUGGAAACUGUAGAACUAGAGUGCAGGAGGGGUAAGUGGAAUUCCUAGUGUAGCGGUGAAAUGCGUAGAUAUUAGGAGGAACACCAGGUGGCGAAGGCGCCUGCUGGACGUGUGACUGGACGUUGAGGC
rnacentral:rRNA from 1 species